rnacentral:lncRNA from 7 species
GCGCCAGGGGAGAUGUCGGGAGUCUGGGUCGUGAUUUUGUACAAGGUCUGAACCGGUUGUCUGCUGCGUUGGGGCAGUAGGUGGUACAGUCCAACCUAGCUGCCUUGGCUGCUUUCUACCUCUUCCAGCGACUUCUGGUUUCUUUCCCAACGGUCUGAAGCAGCAACCGUGCUGGCACUGCUCCUUCCGAGGUUACUCCAUCUGAGAUAACUGACCAAGACCAGGAAGAUAAAAACAAUGUCAGAGGCCAACUGGAGACAGGAUUUGCUUUGGGCAAAGCGUUCCACUUGCUGAAGGUUCAAGAGUUGGCAAGUCCUGUGGCCACUCCCUCCACACCCCCACCAUCAGAAGUAUAGUGAGGAGUCUGCUAGAGGAUGCCAACUUCUGGGAUUAUCCUCUAGGCAUAGUGGUGGGCCCAUACAGAAAAUUCUUGGACAGCUUUUCCUGGAAUGUUUCUACUAACAACCCAUCUCAAACAUGAGAUCCCUUUACAGCAGAUCCCAAAUGCAGAGCUGUCUGCCUGGGGCUCAGUUCCCUCAGAAUCUUCCACUGGGGGUUGAAUGGACAACGCUUACCUGGGAGAUACACCGAGGAGCUGCCAGGCUUUGGUGCGCUGUGCUCCUGGUUU